AUGGAGUUUCACGGAGAAGCACAAGUCAUCAUCAGACGCCCUGUUUCUAAUCUGAAUGGUCCAGUGGUCCCUGUUCCUGGAGCCAGCUGCAGUGAGGGAGAUGGAAACAGAAACGUGGAAGACAGGAGUCCAAUGUGUAGCAAUACAGGAAACACGCUGGUACCGAAGAAUAGAAGUGGUUUUCUGCAAACCGUUGAUCUGAAAGUCAAUGGAAUGAUUCCAGGAGAGACAACCUGGUUUUCUGAUUAUUUCAUUCGGCCAGUUUUACUUCACCAGUCUGGCAACUGAAGAAAAGGCAUCUGGGAAGGUAAGGCUUGGUAAAGGGUGGUUUUUUCUUCUUUCUCUGGUCCACCUGCUCAUUUGCUCACAAGGCUAUUAACAAUAAAAGAUGACUAUUGCAUGUCUAUCUCACUUGUCUAUCUUGAGUUCUGAAGUUAUAGAAUAAAAUAAACAGAAAUGUAAGGGUUCAGUACAGCAUCCUAUUUCUUAUAGGGAAGGGAUUGGAUCAUGCAAUUUGGGUUCAAUGGAAAAUUGUUGCUUCCUGCCCCUCUACCCCACACUGAACCUUCCCACUCAGGCUGGGGCUAAGCAGGCGGGAUCUGCAGCUUUCGCUGUCUCUGCGGUGAAGGACCAUGGACUUGACUCAUUAACAGGCAGCUCCAAGUGAGAGCACAAGCCAGGACCCAGACCAGUCCUCACUCCGGUUUUGCCAUCGCGAGGCAAGUCCCUCCAGGAGUCUGGAGAGAAGGAGUGAAUCACCCCUCCAAUGCUUCUUCGAUGGAGCAGAAGUAUUGUGAAAAGUGCCAACGUUAUGGAUCAAUGAAAAAAAUAAGAGUAUUCUGUGUCUCUCAACUGGAGAUCAAACAGACAGAUUUGCUAACGUUAUACGUUAGGUAUGACAAAAAGUUGUGCACUUUUUUAAAUGUGUGUGUGUGUGUGUGUGUGUGUGUGUGUGUUUUGUUUUUUUGAGACAGGGUCUCACUCUGUCAUCCAGGCUGGAGUGCAGGGGUAUGGUCUGGGCUCACUGUGGCCUCAACUUCCCAGGCUCAAGUGAGCCUCCUGAGUAACUGGGACUACAGGUGCAUGCCACUAUGCCUGGCUAAUUUUUUGUAUUUUUUGGAGAGACUGGGCUUCGCAAUGUUGACCAGGCUGAUCAUGAAUUUCUGGGCUCAAGCGAUCCUCCUAUCUCUACCUCCCAAAGUGCUGGGAUCACAGAUAUGAGCCACUGUGCCAGCCAAAAAGUUUUAAUUUUUGUUCAAAUGAUUUUUCCUAGCCUUAACUUUCUUGGCAACUGCUGUAUGGCUUAACCACCACCACUACCACCACUACCAACAUGUACCCUCAGCCUUCCACAAAGACCCAGCACAGCAACCUAGCAUAGUAGUUUUCCUUUUCUAAAAACUGUCCCUCCCAUUUCUGUUCCAUUAUUCAUAGCGAAAGGAUUCAAGACAGGAACAGGGAAGUCAGAGGAAAUUGGCAGUCGAUCCUUUUGAUCCUUCUUAACCAGGGAACAGAACGAUGACCUUGCCGGAGGGAACCGCGAUACCAGGGAGCAAUGACCUAAAUAAUUCUGAGUGUGGGUGAAAAUGUGGAGGAUUCCAAACCUCCGAGGUUGAGAGGAGCUGGAUGGUUUCGUGCUUAAGCACGGCCGGCGCCAGACUUACAUCAAUUCAGUAAUAACAUUCCUUCCCACACUAAAUGUGAGUGAAGACACCUCCCAUGAAGCCUUGGUGAAGACUUCACAAAAUCUUGCUGUGUCUAUUUUCUUUUUAAACACAAAAUUUCUUAAUUAAAAAAACUUUUUAUUUCAAAAGAAUUAGAUAUUCAGAAGUGGCAAAGAUAGUAUAGAGAGGUACUAUGUAUCCCUCAGCCAUCUC
rnacentral:lncRNA from 1 species